AACGAACGCUGGCGGCAUGCUUAACACAUGCAAGUCGAACGAGAUCUUCGGAUCUAGUGGCGCACGGGUGCGUAACGCGUGGGAAUCUGCCCUUGGGUUCGCAACAACUUCUGGAAACGGAAGCUAAUACCGGUUGAUGACGUAAGUCCAAAGAUUUAUCGCUCAAGGAUGAGCCCGCGUAGGAUUAGCUAGUUGGUGGGGUAAAGGCCCACCAAGGCGACGAUCCUUAGCUGGUCUGAGAGGAUGAUCAUCCCCACUGGAACUGCGACACGGCCCAGACUCCGACGGAGGGCAGCAGUAGGGAAUAUUAGACGAGGAGCGAUAGCCUGAUCCAGCCAUGCCGCGUGAGUGAUGAAGGCCUUAGGAUUGUAAAGCUCUCUGUCCCGAGAUGUUAAUGACAGUACCGGGUGAAUAAGCUCCGGCUAACUCCGUG
rnacentral:rRNA from 1 species